UACGUGGGGGGCGAGCGUUGUCCGGAAUCAUUGGGCGUAAAGCGCGUGUAGGCGGCCCGGUAAGUCCGCUGUGAAAGUCCAGGGCUCAACCCUGGGAUGCCGGUGGAUACUGUCGGGCUCGAGUCCGGAAGAGGCGAGUGGAAUUCCUGGUGUAGCGGUGAAAUGCGCAGAUAUCAGGAGGAACACCAAUGGCGAAGGCAGCUCGCUGGGGCGUGACUGACGCUGAGACGCGAAAGCGUGGGGAGCAAACAGG
rnacentral:rRNA from 1 species